AAGAUUGUGCCCCAAAAGGUAGAGAUAAGAAGAGAUCACCUCCAUACCUUAAAUGAUUUUCAGAAGCUGUUGGGAGAUAUUAAUUGGCUUAGACCUUUUUUAAAGAUUCCUUCCGCUGAGUUAAGGCCUUUGUUUAGUAUUUUAGAAGGAGAUCCUCAUAUCUCCUCCCCUAGGACUCUUACUCUAGCUGCUAACCAGGCCUUACAAAAAGUGGAAAAGGCCUUACAGAAUGCACAAUUACAACGUAUUGAGGAUUCGCAGCCUUUCAGUUUGUGUGUCUUUAAGACAGCACAAUUGCCAACUGCAGUUUUGUGGCAGAAUGGGCCAUUGUUGUGGAUCCAUCCAAACGUAUCCCCAGCUAAAAUAAUAGAUUGGUAUCCUGAUGCAAUUGCACAGCUUGCCCUUAAAGGCCUAAAAGCAGCAAUCACCCACUUUGGGCAAAGUCCAUAUCUUUUAAUUGUACCUUAUACUGCUGCACAGGUUCAAACCUUGGCAGCCGCAUCUAAUGAUUGGGCAGUUUUAGUUACCUCCUUUUCAGGAAAAAUAGAUAACCAUUAUCCAAAACAUCCAAUCUUACAGUUUGCCCAAAAUCAAUCUGUUGUGUUUCCACAAAUAACAGUAAGAAACCCACUUAAAAAUGGGAUUGUGGUAUAUACUGAUGGAUCAAAAACUGGCAUAGGUGCCUAUGUGGCUAAUGGUAAAGUGGUAUCCAAACAAUAUAAUGAAAAUUCACCUCAAGUGGUAGAAUGUUUAGUGGUCUUAGAAGUUUUAAAAACCUUUUUAGAACCCCUUAAUAUUGUGUCAGAUUCCUGUUAUGUGGUAAAUGCAGUAAAUCUUUUAGAAGUGGCUGGAGUGAUUAAGCCUUCCAGUAGAGUUGCCAAUAUUUUUCAGCAGAUACAAUUAGUUUUGUUAUCUAGAAGAUCUCCUGUUUAUAUUACUCAUGUUAGAGCCCAUUCAGGCCUACCUGGCCCCAUGGCUCUGGGAAAUGAUUUGGCAGAUAAGGCCACUAAAGUGGUGGCUGCUGCCCUAUCAUCCCCGGUAGAGGCUGCAAGAAACUUUCAUAACAAUUUUCAUGUGACGGCUGAAACAUUACGCAGUCGUUUCUCCUUGACAAGAAAAGAAGCCCGUGACAUUGUUACUCAAUGUCAAAGCUGCUGUGAGUUCUUGCCAGUUCCUCAUGUGGGAAUUAACCCACGCGGUAUUCGACCUCUACAGGUCUGGCAAAUGGAUGUUACACAUGUUUCUUCCUUUGGAAAACUUCAAUAUCUCCAUGUGUCCAUUGACACAUGUUCUGGCAUCAUGUUUGCCUCUCCGUUAACCGGAGAAAAAGCCUCACAUGUGAUUCAACAUUGUCUUGAGGCAUGGAGUGCUUGGGGGAAACCCAGACUCCUUAAGACUGAUAAUGGACCAGCUUAUACGUCUCAAAAAUUCCAGCAGUUCUGCCGUCAGAUGGACGUAACCCACCUGACUGGACUUCCGUACAACCCUCAAGGACAGGGUAUUGUUGAGCGUGCGCAUCGCACCCUCAAAGCCUAUCUUAUAAAACAGAAGAGGGGAACUUUUGAGGAGACUGUACCCCGAGCACCAAGAGUGUCUGUGUCUUUGGCACUCUUUACACUCAAUUUUUUAAAUAUUGAUGCUCAUGGCCAUACUGCGGCUGAACGUCAUUGUUCAGAGCCAGAUAGGCCCAAUGAGAUGGUUAAAUGGAAAAAUGUCCUUGAUAAUAAAUGGUAUGGCCCGGAUCCUAUCUUGAUAAGAUCCAGGGGAGCUAUCUGUGUUUUCCCACAGAAUGAAGACAACCCAUUUUGGGUACCAGAAAGACUCACCCGAAAAAUCCAGACUGACCAAGGGAAUACUAAUGUCCCUCGUCUUGGUGAUGUCCAGGGCGUCAAUAAUAAAGAGAGAGCAGCGUUGGGGGAUAAUGUCGACAUUUCCACUCCCAAUGACGGUGAUGUAUAAUGCUCAAGUAUUCUCCUGCUUUUUUACCACUAACUGGGAACUGGGUUUGGCCUUAAUUCAGACAGCCUUGGCUCUGUCUGGACAGGUCCAGACGACUGACACCAUUAACACUUUGUCAGCCUCAGUGACUACAGUCAUAGAUGAACAGGCCUCAGCUAAUGUCAAGAUACAGAGAGGUCUCAUGCUGGUUAAUCAACUCAUAGAUCUUGUCCAGAUACAACUAGAUGUAUUAUGACAAAUAACUCAGCAGGGAUGUAAACAAAAGUUUCCGGGAUUGUGUGUUAUUUCCAUUCAGUAUGUUAAAUUUACUAGGGCAGCUAAUUUGUCAAAAAGUCUUUUUCAGUAUAUGUUACAGAAUUGGAUGGCUGAAUUUGAACAGAUCCUUCGGGAAUUGAGACUUCAGGUCAACUCCACGCGCUUGGACCUGUCCCUGACCAAAGGAUUACCCAAUUGGAUCUCCUCAGCAUUUUCUUUCUUUAAAAAAUGGGUGGGAUUAAUAUUAUUUGGAGAUACACUUUGCUGUGGAUUAGUGUUGCUUCUUUGAUUGGUCUGUAAGCUUAAGGCCUAAACUAGGAGAGACAAGGUGGUUAUUGCCCAGGCGCUUGCAGGACUAGAACAUGGAGCUCCCCCUGAUAUAUCUAUGCUUAGGCAAUAGGUCGCUGGCCACUCAGCUCUUAUAUCCCAUGAGGCUAGACUCAUUGCACGGGAUAGAGUGAGUGUGCUUCAGCAGCCCGAGAGAGUUGCAAGGCUAAGCACUGCAAUGGAAAGGCUCUGCGGCAUAUAUGAGCCUAUUCUAGGGAGACAUGUCAUCUUUCAAGAAGGUUCAGUGUCCUAGUUCCCUUCCCCCAGGCAAAACGACACGGGAGCAGGUCAGGGUUGCUCUGGGUAAAAGCCUGUAAGCCUAAGAGCUAAUCCUGUACAUGGCUCCUUUACCUACACACUGGGGAUUUGACCUCUAUCUCCACUCUCAUUAAUAUGGGUGGCCUAUUUGCUCUUAUUAAAAGGAUAGGGGGAGAUGUUGGGAGCCGCCCCCACAUUCGCCGUUACAAGAUGGCGCUGACAUCCUGUGUUCUAAGUGGUAAACAAAUAAUCUGCGCAUGUGCCAAGGGUAUCUUAUGACUACUUGUGCUCUGCCUUCCCCGUGACGUCAACUCGGCCGAUGGGCUGCAGCCAAUCAGGGAGUGACACGUCCGAGGCAAUUGUUGUUCUCUUUUAAAUAGAAGGGGUUUCUUUUUCUCUCUCCUUGCUCUCUUGCACUCUGGCUCCUGAAGAUGUAAGCAAUAAAGCUUUGCCGC
rnacentral:lncRNA from 1 species